AUGUGGUUAUGGAAAUAUUGUCCCGUAACUACUU
rnacentral:ncRNA from 2 species